rnacentral:rRNA from 1 species
CGGGACACGUGGUAUCCUGUCUGAAUAUGGGGGGACCAUCCUCCAAGGCUAAAUACUCCUGACUGACCGAUAGUGAACCAGUACCGUGAGGGAAAGGCGAAAAGAACCCCGGCGAGGGGAGUGAAAAAGAACCUGAAACCGUGUACGUACAAGCAGUGGGAGCACGCUUAGGCGUGUGACUGCGUACCUUUUGUAUAAUGGGUCAGCGACUUAUAUUCUGUAGCAAGGUUAACCGAAUAGGGGAGCCGAAGGGAAACCGAGUCUUAACUGGGCGUUAAGUUGCAGGGUAUAGACCCGAAACCCGGUGAUCUAGCCAUGGGCAGGUUGAAGGUUGGGUAACACUAACUGGAGGACCGAACCGACUAAUGUUGAAAAAUUAGCGGAUGACUUGUGGCUGGGGGUGAAAGGCCAAUCAAACCGGGAGAUAGCUGGUUCUCCCCGAAAGCUAUUUAGGUAGCGCCUCGUGAAUUCAUCUCCGGGGGUAGAGCACUGUUUCGGCAAGGGGGUCAUCCCGACUUACCAACCCGAUGCAAACUGCGAAUACCGGAGAAUGUUAUCACGGGAGACACACGGCGGGUGCUAACGUCCGUCGUGAAGAGGGAAACAACCCAGACCGCCAGCUAAGGUCCCAAAGUCAUGGUUAAGUGGGAAACGAUGUGGGAAGGCCCAGACAGCCAGGAUGUUGGCUUAGAAGCAGCCAUCAUUUAAAGAAAGCGUAAUAGCUCACUGGUCGAGUCGGCCUGCGCGGAAGAUGUAACGGGGCUAAACCAUGCACCGAAGCUGCGGCAGCGACGCUUAUGCGUUGUUGGGUAGGGGAGCGUUCUGUAAGCCUGCGAAGGUGUGCUGUGAGGCAUGCUGGAGGUAUCAGAAGUGCGAAUGCUGACAUAAGUAACGAUAAAGCGGGUGAAAAGCCCGCUCGCCGGAAGACCAAGGGUUCCUGUCCAACGUUAAUCGGGGCAGGGUGAGUCGACCCCUAAGGCGAGGCCGAAAGGCGUAGUCGAUGGGAAACAGGUUAAUAUUCCUGUACUUGGUGUUACUGCGAAGGGGGGACGGAGAAGGCUAUGUUGGCCGGGCGACGGUUGUCCCGGUUUAAGCGUGUAGGCUGGUUUUCCAGGCAAAUCCGGAAAAUCAAGGCUGAGGCGUGAUGACGAGGCACUACGGUGCUGAAGCAACAAAUGCCCUGCUUCCAGGAAAAGCCUCUAAGCAUCAGGUAACAUCAAAUCGUACCCCAAACCGACACAGGUGGUCAGGUAGAGAAUACCAAGGCGCUUGAGAGAACUCGGGUGAAGGAACUAGGCAAAAUGGUGCCGUAACUUCGGGAGAAGGCACGCUGAUAUGUAGGUGAAGUCCCUCGCGGAUGGAGCUGAAAUCAGUCGAAGAUACCAGCUGGCUGCAACUGUUUAUUAAAAACACAGCACUGUGCAAACACGAAAGUGGACGUAUACGGUGUGACGCCUGCCCGGUGCCGGAAGGUUAAUUGAUGGGGUCAGCGCAAGCGAAGCUCUUGAUCGAAGCCCCGGUAAACGGCGGCCGUAACUAUAACGGUCCUAAGGUAGCGAAAUUCCUUGUCGGGUAAGUUCCGACCUGCACGAAUGGCGUAAUGAUGGCCAGGCUGUCUCCACCCGAGACUCAGUGAAAUUGAACUCGCUGUGAAGAUGCAGUGUACCCGCGGCAAGACGGAAAGACCCCGUGAACCUUUACUAUAGCUUGACACUGAACAUUGAGCCUUGAUGUGUAGGAUAGGUGGGAGGCUUUGAAGUGUGGACGCCAGUCUGCAUGGAGCCGACCUUGAAAUACCACCCUUUAAUGUUUGAUGUUCUAACGUUGACCCGU